rnacentral:rRNA from 1 species
UACGGGAGGCAGCAGGGGGAAUAUUGCACAAUGGGCGCAAGCCUGAUGCAGCCAUGCCGCGUGUAUGAAAAAGGCCUUCGGGUUGUAAAGUACUUUCAGUCGUGAGGAAGGUGUUAAGGUUAAUAACCUUAGCAAUUGACGUUAGCGACAGAAGAAGCACCGGCUAACUCCGUGCCAGCAGCCGCGGUAAUACGGAGGGUGCGAGCGUUAAUCGGAAUUACUGGGCGUAAAGGGCACGCAGGCGGUUAAUUAAGUUGGAUGUGAAAUCCCCGGGCUUAACCUGGGAAUGGCAUUCAAGACUGGUUAGCUAGAGUCUUGUAGAGGGGGUAGAUUCCAUGUGUAGCGGUGAAAUGCGUAGAGAUGUGGAGGAAUACCGGUGGCGAAGGCGGCCCCUGGACAAAGACUGACGCUCAUGUGCGAAAGCGUGGGGAGCAAACAGGGAUUAGAUAC